rnacentral:rRNA from 1 species
AUGUUUGGCGUUUUACAUAAAUUAUUUAAAAAAGCAAACUACGGGGCUGCGAAGAAGCCGAUCAGCGCGGCGAAGUCGCCGACGUCGCCGCCGUCCUCGUUGUCGUCGGCGGCCUUCUCCUUCUUGAUGGCGCGGCCGCCACUGCUGGACCCCUGCCCGCCGUCUCCAUGGUGGACAGGCGGUGGCGGCGCAUCGUCGUCGUCGUCGCUGUCGUCGAGGACGACGAUGCCUCCCUCGUCCCGGCCACGGCGGCGAGCUUCGAACCGUGCGAAGGCGGCGCACUGGCGCUCCCUCUCCAAGUGCACCCAGUCGUCGCGCGCCCAUUUGAGGGCCGCUUCAUCGUCGAGCGCCUCCUCCUUGACGGGCUCCGUCUUCACGACGGGGAGCCCCGACUCUGACUUGAUGGCGGCGAGGCCCGGCUCCGUCUUGGGCUUGACGAAACACGGAGGAGCCGAGGAGGUGGCACGCCGGCCGCCCUCGUUGAUGACGAUGCCGGCGCUGCGGGUGCGCCAGCCGAGCGGCGUCUCCGCGGCGGGCUCUGCCUUGACGCCGAAGAGCGCCGGCGAGCCGGAAGAGUGGGAGGAGGAGUGGGAGGAGGAGGAGGCGGCGAAUCUCCUGGGCACCCACGGCCCGGCGCUCCGGCGAGGGGCCGGCACGGCCACCGUGGCUGGGUAUGCCAGCGGCGGGUUAUUGCCGCCCUCGAGGUGCACGGCAAAAACGCCUGGGGAGGGACUCUUGGGGCCGCGGAUGCUCUUACUUCUCUCGUUCCAUCCCUCUUUCUCAUCCCUGUGCUUCCACCGAUAUUCAGCUCUGGAUGUGAAGCCUCCAAAGUCACUGGCGCCCCCCGUUCCCCCGGAGCGAGCGCCGCCAUCGGAUCCCGUCCCGUCCCCUCCCCUCCUCUGUGUGUGUGUGUCUCUCUCUCAUUUCCUCAUAUCGUUCUAUGCUUGCAGGUCGUCGGCGCACGCCCUGGCCAUGGCGCGGUCGCGGCAAACCUUGAGCUGGAUCCGCUCCUCGUACAGCUUGCACGCCAGCGUCCACUUGUACUCCUUCCCCUUGGAGGGCGACCCCUCGCCGGCGCCGUCGACCAGGUUCUCCGAUGAGGUCCGCGUGUGCACGCGCCGCGCGAUGGACGUCGACAUCAAGGGUCUCUCCCUCCCGUCCACGUCCUCGACCUCCGGCUUUUCCUGCGGCUCUGACGCAGGCUGCUGCACAUCCUCUUGGUGGUCUUGUCCGUCAGCUUGCAGGUCUUCGCUGCAUUAUUCGGCCACCUUCGACUCCACCAAUGCUUUCGGUCAGAUUCUUCUCGAGGAAGACGAACAUGGCAACACUCCAAUCUCUUUUCCUCAACCGCAUGUCCGCAUCAGUACUGAAUGUGAUGCCAAGUCCCUGAAACACCGUUCCAGACCACCAGAUCCGGAGUGCCGCCGCUGGAUCCUGUCCCAAUCACGCCUGCAGUCAAGAACCGGGACAGCGUCGUGCGCCCUUCCCCGUCUCCAACGCUCCAGUGCCCACGCCGUCGAUGCUGUCGUCAUUUCAGCAUCAUUCGAAUGUGUGUGGAUUUGGUCACUUCAUUGCCUUCCCAUCGUGUUUAUCGUGUUGGGUUAA